rnacentral:rRNA from 1 species
CGGUGCCUAAUACAUGCAAGUCGAGCGAGCUGAAUUCAAAGAUCCCUUCGGGGUGAUUUGUUGGACGCUAGCGGCGGAUGGGUGAGUAACACGUGGGCAAUCUGCCCUAAAGACUGGGAUACCACUUGGAAACAGGUGCUAAUACCGGAUAACAACAUGAAUCGCAUGAUUCAAGUUUGAAAGGCGGCGUAAGCUGUCACUUUAGGAUGAGCCCGCGGCGCAUUAGCUAGUUGGUGGGGUAAAGGCCUACCAAGGCAAUGAUGCGUAGCCGAGUUGAGAGACUGAUCGGCCACAUUGGGACUGAGACACGGCCCAAACUCCUACGGGAGGCAGCAGUAGGGAAUCUUCCACAAUGGACGCAAGUCUGAUGGAGCAACGCCGCGUGAGUGAAGAAGGUUUUCGGAUCGUAAAGCUCUGUUGUUGGUGAAGAAGGAUAGAGGCAGUAACUGGUCUUUAUUUGACAGUAAUCAACCAGAAAGUCACGGCUAACUACGUG